rnacentral:rRNA from 1 species
GCCUAAUACAUGCAAGUCGAGGGGCAACAGGUGUAGCAAUACAUGCUGGCGACCGGCGCACGGGUGCGUAACACGUAUGUAAUCUGCCCAUACUGGAAGAUAGCCCGGAGAAAUUCGGAUUAAUACUCCAUAACACUAUAGUUUGGCAUCAGACAGUAGUUAAAGAUUUAUCGGUAAUGGAAGAGCAUGCGGCUGAUUAGCUAGUUGGUGAGGUAACGGCUCACCAAGGCAACGAUCAGUAGGGGACCUGAGAGGGUGAUCCCCCACACUGGUACUGAGAUACGGACCAGACUCCUACGGGAGGCAGCAGUAGGGAAUAUUGGGCAAUGGACGCAAGUCUGACCCAGCCAUGCCGCGUGCAGGAAGACGGCCUUCUGGGUUGUAAACUGCUUUUGAUCGGGAACAAAGAGCCCUUGCGAGGGAAGUUGAGUGUACCGAUAGAAUAAGCACCGGCUAACUCCGUGCCAGCAGCCGCGGUAAUACGGAGGGUGCAAGCGUUGUCCGGAUUUAUUGGGUUUAAAGGGUGCGUAGGCGGCUCUUUAAGUCAGUGGUGAAAGCCUCCAGCUUAACUGGAGAACAGCCAUUGAUACUGAAGAGCUUGAGUACAGACGAGGUAGG